rnacentral:lncRNA from 1 species
UACAAUUGAUACUCUUGCCUUCUUCCAAUGUUGACCUUGAUUGCUUGAAAGUCAAUCAACCUUGUUCUACUCUUGAGAUGACCCGUGUGAAGUACUCCACCUUAUGGUCCAAGUCCUUGAACUGGAACCUUAAGCCUCCUUUUUGAUAACAAUGAAGCUCUUGAACAAGGCAACUUCCCGCUUAGGAGCUGAACGCUGGUUUACUGCUGAAUGCUGGUUUGCUGCUGAAUGAACUUUCUAGGGCCCCAGCUCCAUGAAGCUCACCAACU